rnacentral:rRNA from 1 species
GACGGAGGGUGCAAGCGUUGUUCGGAAUUACUGGGCGUAAAGCGCGGGCAGGUGGCCUUUUAAGUCCUUUGUGAAAUUCCGGAGCUCAACUCCGGACAUGCAUAGGAUACUGGAAGGCUAGAGACUGGUAGAGGCGAGCGGAAUUCCUGGUGUAGCGGUGAAAUGCGCAGAUAUCAGGAGGAACACCGGUGGCGAAGGCGGCUUGCUGGGCCUUACCUGACGCUGAGGAGCGAAAGCGUGGGGAGCGAACAGG